GGGCAAGACAGAUACAGCGAGAGUAAAUCUGUUAUCGAAGUGUUGCUCAGAAUUCCUCUGGAUAGCUCUGGAUCACUCUGGUUUUCCCGAAGUGUUGCCUGAUACUUAUGAAAAAUCGAGCAGUCUUGCCCGAUUUUCCGCUUCGUAGAGACGUUUCUGAAUGGAUUCGAACAAAAAGUGCUACUCAGGAUUGCUCAGAGUUGCUCCGAAUUUCACAGUGUCUUGCCCCUAGGGUUUAACUUAUACUUUGCAUAAGUUAGCCGUUUGAAAAUAUUUCCCGCCAAGCGGCGCCUGUGAGCAGCAGUAAAUUUCGUAAACAAAAGAGUUAAUUGCCAAGUUAAUUGCAUAAUUUCCUCCACUAGAGUUUUUGACGUAGCUUUAUCAGGUAAUUGUUCUGGGGAUCCUGAUAGAAAUCCAGUUCCUGGUCAAGGGCUCGUUCGAGUAGCCGCUGCCGUUUGAAAAGCCAUGCUAUAACGGCCGGACACAGCAGUCGCACCUCGCGAAACUUCUACUGCCGGUCCCGACUCUGAUCGGAACUCGGUUCGAAAUCUGCGAAGAUCUGCGGCACGGAAGAGAAAACAAAUGGCUUGGAUGGCAUCAAGAAGAUUCCCCGAAUGUGAGUCAAGAUUACUGACUCGGAUCACGACGGAGAAAGAUCAGCAACAAUGGGAAACCAGUCAACGCGGGAGAUGAAGGAGUUCGUGGGAGAUGAAGGAGGCGGCGUAUACAUCAUCAUAAACGACUUUGAGCUGAUGUUGGCGCGCAAAAACAGACAAACAUCUCAAGCGAAACUUCUAACUGCCUCUAACGGAACGACAUCGGCUUGAUCAACAAGCUAAAACAAAUACGCCACGUCGCCGUGUCCUCAACUAGUCGCUGGAAUACCUACAACAUGCAGUAACUACAUCCGCUGGAUGCCGCCGGAUUGCGUAGUAUCGCAAUUUUCUUCAUGGUGUAUUCGUGUUUUCGUGUGCAUUAAAUCAUUUAAUAAUCAAUAAAAUAAGUAUUUCACAAAAAAAUGUGUAUUCAUUACACUAGUUUACAGCAUUUUUGAACUCGGUAAGCUGAUGAUCAUUUUUGGUGUAGAAUCAUGCCCUGAGUUCGAAAACGCGAAAGAAAAAAAUUACAGUAGAGCGGAAAUUUUUUCGACUUUCCAUACAAGGUUGAUGAUUUGAAAUCGAUUUUUGUUCUAUUUUUAAGCAAUGUCGCUCACUUCAAACAUCUCAUUCUCCGUAAUCAAUGCUUUGAUUGAGCUGAAAUUUUUACUGUAACUCGCCUACAUAUGAUGUCAAAUAAACGUCAAGAAAGAAUUUUUCAGUUGUCUUUUUCGCAUUGAAAAAAAUACAUAUCUUCAAAAAAAUUUGGGAAUUUGGCUAAAAUUUAAGAAGAUCGUCCCUUAAGCAGGCAAAUAUCUUGAAUUUCAUCAAUCUGACGCAAAACCUGUAUUCAGAUGAUCGAAUGGUAUUGUAUUCAGCUUUCAAUUGAUGAAAAAAGAUUUAAAAUUGGUUGAACAAAACGCAAUAUAUUUGAAUUUUAGUAAAUUACAUAUUUUGAAAAGUUGUAAAACUCGAUAUUGAGCUAAAACUCAAAAACUGUUCUACUUAAAAUUUUUUGAAGGUCGGUUUCGAAUUCAGCACUAAAUUGUGCUUCAAAAAUUUUGGUCGUUGACAGAAGUUCACGACUUUCGUUUUAUUUUGUAAACUUGUGUUAUUG